GUUUACUUAGCUCAAGGAGAGAGUGUUACUUUGAAGAAGUAAAGAUAUCAUAAUUGAUAGUAAACA
rnacentral:tRNA from 1 species